rnacentral:lncRNA from 1 species
GCCGAUCUUCCCCUUCGCAGCUGACAGUUCCACCUUGAGGGCGCUGAUCCUGGCGGCUUGGGCCCAAAUUCGAUCGCUGGCGCUCUUCUUGCAUUCCUCGAGUUCCUUCACGAAGUCCGCCUUCCUACGGCUAUACUCCAUGAUCCCCUUCACAUGGAGAUUCCGAAAGUGGGUGGCCUCAGCGGUGGCUUCAAAAUGACCUUCUCUCAAUCGGCGGAGCUCGCCUUCCAUCUUCUUUAACUUCUUCGUCAGGUGAAGGACUUCCUUCUUCAGCUGCUGGAUCAUCGAUUUCAGCGGGACCCCAGGGGCAGGGGGAGUGCUUCUACAGGAUACUGCCAUCGGAAGGCAAAAGCGUCAAAACAUGACUCAUUACAGGGAGGAGAACAGAGAGAAGGAGGGGGGGGAGGAGAAGCCGUCCGCAACAAGAAAUUCAACUUUAUUGAUUGGAUGAUUUUUGAAGAUAAACAGAAAAGAAAAAUUGCGACGAAAUAAAGGUACAAGAUCAGAGGUCUCAGACCUCGGGGGCGGGGGUUGGAGAAUUCGGUGUUCCCGGCAAGGGGGCUGCGACGGCAGUGGAGGCUGGCGAAGGACCGGUCUCGUCUUCAGACUCCUCGCCUAGGAAGCUGAGGUCAAGCUCUGGAAAUUUUCUGGCCACCUUCUCUUGGCAGAGCUCGAACCCCUUUAUGAACGCUUCCUGGCCGAAUUGGACCUUCAGAUCCCUCAUCUCUGCGGAGGCCUUGAAUUCCUCUAUCGCAAGGGCUCUGGCCUCCGAGACCAGGGCCGAAGUUUGCUCAACCAAGUUGGCGACCUCGGCCUCCGCCUUCCUCACCGAUUCCUCCAAGAUCUGCCUCUCCUCCUCCCGGGCUCGCUUCUCUCUUUCCAGGGCCUCCUGGAGGGCGGCUACU